UUAGGCAGGCUGCAGUGGAGGAGGGUACGCCGUUCCAUUGGCGUGGUACUGUCGGCGGCCCUUCAGAGGAGAUGCUGCCCCACGGAACGCCUGGCAAGUGCUGGCGAAGCGGCAUGGGCGUCCCACUCCGUUCCUCAACCAAUUUCCUCACAAUCGCGAGCCGAAGUGUGGCGCUUUGGCAGUUUCGCAAGGUCUUUUGUCAGGAGAUGAGUUACUGAGGAUUGGGGGUCUUUGGAGCUCUUGGACCUGAAGAACGAUUAAGUUUUUCUCCCUUCAGAGAGCCAAGAGAUGGGGUCUUGCUGUGUUGCCCAGGGUGGAGUGCAGUGGCUAUUCACAGAAGCUUCCAGCCUUCAGAUUUGAACUGGGACACUGGCUCUGCAGAUUUUGGACUUGCCAGCCUUCAUAAUUGUAACCUACACUCCUGUCAUUUGUGGAAUGAUUGCUGGAGCCAGAGGCCAGGAAGAAGUUCAUGAGCCUGAGAGAAAAAGCAAGGAUUUCCAGUUCUACCCUGUAAGUCACUGAGCUCACUGAGCUUCAUUUUUCUUAUCCAUCAAAUGGGGAUAUUGAUUUUUUUUUUUUUUUUGAGACCAAGUUUCAUUCUUGUCACCCAGGCUGGAGUACAGUGGCGUGCUCUCGUCUCACUGCUACCUCUGGCUUCCGGGUUCGAGUGAUUCUCCUACCUCAGCCUCCUGAGUAACUGGGAUUACAAGUGUGUAC
rnacentral:lncRNA from 1 species